AUGUCACGAUGGCACUAUUGAAUUCACGAGCAUCGAUGCACACAAUGGCGUGGCCCCAUCAAGACGUGGUGAUUUGGAAAUACUUGGUUAUUGCAUGAUCCAAUGGCUUACUGGCCAUCUUCCUUGGGAGGAUAAUUUGAAAGAUCCUAAAUAUGUUAGAGAUUCCAAAAUUAGAUACAGAGAAAAUAUUGCAAGUUUGAUGGACAAAUGUUUUCCUGAGAAAAACAAACCAGGUGAAAUUGCCAAAUACAUGGAAACAGUGAAAUUACUAGACUACACUGAAAAACCUCUUUAUGAAAAUUUACGUGACAUUCUUUUGCAAGGACUAAAAGCUAUAGGAAGUAAGGAUGAUGGCAAAUUGGACCUCAGUGUUGUGGAGAAUGGAGGUUUGAAAGCAAAAACAAUAACAAAGGUGAAUUUUGUUAUUAAAUUAUUCUUUGGUCUUCUUGUGUUUAUAAUUGCAAUAAAUACUAAAAGAAAGUAUAGCAGUAGUUCAAUGAAGAACAAUAACAGAUUGCAUGGCAAUUAAGGCAAACAUUUUUUGUAAUACAGAAAAUGUGUAGAGGGUUGUAGAAAAAUAAAUAUUUAUAUAUUUCUUA
rnacentral:lncRNA from 1 species